GUGGAAAGGCUCAUGUCGCUUAGUCUCUGUCUGCCUCCAUUCCACUGCACUUGUGACUCAGAGAGUGCAGCUGAGCUCUUUUGGCUCUCUGUCCAUCCACCUCCUCUGCAAAUGACUAUGGAGACGGGCUUAUUGAUCAGGGGCAAGUCACAGUUACGAACAUGGCCUAAAUGAUAUGCCCUAAACGUCAGUCUCAAUGACAUGAAGGCCAAAUGAAAGAUGUUUCUUACUCCGGGAGGCUGGAACUGCAAAACUUCCACUGCUUCAGUAUCAUUCAAGCCAAGCUGUAACCAGAUAGGGGAGUGGAAUGAGCCCAAAGAGAAGCCAACAAGAAUUUCUGGUCAUAUUUCUGGUCAAGGCCGGCUACUGAUUCAAGAGCCAUUGAUUUAAGAAGUAGUGGUAUCUGAAGAAGCAUUGAAACAGUUUUUACAAUCCAGAAUAGCUGUCAAGUGUUACUGUUUUU